CCUACGGGUGGCAGCAGUGGGGAAUAUUGCACAAUGAGGGGAACCCUGAUGCAGCGACGCCGCGUGGGCGAAGGAGUAUUUCGGUAUGUAAAGCGCUAUCAGCAGGGAAGAACAAUGACGGUACCUGACUAAGAAGCACCGGCCAAAUACGUGCCAGCAGCCGCGGUAAUACGUAUGGUGCAAGCGUUGUCCGGAUUUACUGGGGGUAAAGGGAGCGCAGGCGGGGCGUUCAGCCUGGUGGUAAAGCCCGUGGCCCAACCGCGGGACCGCAUUGGGAACUAGCGAGCUGGAGUGCCGGAGGGGUAGGCGGAAUUCCUAGUGUAGCGGUGAAAUGCGUAGAUAUUAGGAGGAACACCAGUGGCGAAGGCGGCCUACUGGACGGUGACUGACGCUGAGGCUCGAAAGCGUGGGGAGCAAACAGGAUUAGAUACCCGAGUAGUC
rnacentral:rRNA from 1 species